rnacentral:rRNA from 1 species
GUCGAGCGGUAGAGAGAAGCUUGCUUCUCUUGAGAGCGGCGGACGGGCGAGUAAUGCCUAGGAAUCUGCCUGGUAGUGGGGGAUAACGUUCGGAAACGGACGCUAAUACCGCAUACGUCCUACGGGAGAAAGCAGGGGACCUUCGGGCCUUGCGCUAUCAGAUGAGCCUAGGUCGGAUUAGCUAGUUGGUGGGGUAAUGGCUCACCAAGGCGACGAUCCGUAACUGGUCUGAGAGGAUGAUCAGUCACACUGGAACUGAGACACGGUCCAGACUCCUACGGGAGGCAGCAGUGGGGAAUAUUGGACAAUGGGCGAAAGCCUGAUCCAGCCAUGCCGCGUGUGUGAAGAAGGUCUUCGGAUUGUAAAGCACUUUAAGUUGGGAGGAAGGGCAGUAAAUUAAUACUUUGCUGUUUUGACGUUACCGACAGAAUAAGCACCGGCUAACUCUGUGCCAGCAGCCGCGGUAAUACAGAGGGUGCAAGCGUUAAUCGGAAUUACUGGGCGUAAAGCGCGCGUAGGUGGUUAGUUAAGUUGGAUGUGAAAUCCCCGGGCUCAACCUGGGAACUGCAUUCAAAACUGACUGACUAGAGUAUGGUAGAGGGUGGUGGAAUUUCCU